GUGGGGAAUUUUGGACAAUGGGCGCAAGCCUGAUCCAGCAAUGCCGCGUGCAGGAAGAAGGCCUUCGGGUUGUAAACUGCUUUUGUACGGAACGAAACGGUCCGGGUUAAUACCCUGGGCUAAUGACGGUACCGUAAGAAUAAGCACCGGCUAACUACGUGCCAGCAGCCGCGGUAAUACGUAGGGUGCAAGCGUUAAUCGGAAUUACUGGGCGUAAAGCGUGCGCAGGCGGUUUUGUAAGACAGGCGUGAAAUCCCCGGGCUCAACCUGGGAAUUGCGCUUGUGACUGCAAGGCUGGAGUGCGGCAGAGGGGGAUGGAAUUCCGCGUGUAGCAGUGAAAUGCGUAGAUAUGCGGAGGAACACCGAUGGCGAAGGCAAUCCCCUGGGCCUGCACUGACGCUCAUGCACGAAAGCGUGGGGAGCAAACAGGAUUAGAUACCCGUGUAGUCC
rnacentral:rRNA from 1 species